GUAAACAAUCACAUAUAUCCACUUGUCACGUAGACCACAUCCAUGUAGAGACUCUCACUCACUUGUCGUAACACAGACAAUACACGCAAUCAGGCCAGCUACAUGACAUUGCAUAAUAAGCGCCGUGGAAAGAUGAAUAAGAACAGUACCGCAAAUUCUCCAAGCCGACAUCAGGCAUCGGAAUUGGCAAUACUGUGGGCGCUGAGUACCUACAUUAGCAGUUUUCAGCGUGAAGACUCAAGCUUAACACUGUAACCUAGCAUCCGGCGUCCAAACUAUACUUGACUGACGCGUACGAAACAGUUCACUGGUUUUCAGAGGGCAAGAGGAUGGAAGAGAGCUGUUCAAAACAAAUCCUACCGAAGUGACUGUCCUCCAAGAGAUGAGAUGGAGGCUAUGACCAGCAGUGCUGCUCAUUGUGCUUGACUUCAGUGUUACCAAGCUAUACUGAUGCCAAGAAAGACCACGUUCCAGAUAACAAAGUUGCCAAAUAAUUAACAGUAUUCUGUCAAGAACUCAAAAGUGCAGUCAGUAAACUGAACAAGUAUUAGAUGCCUCAAUAGAACUGUCUUUGAUUUUGACUGUCAAUAUUUCAGUGGCUUGCAUAGCAUUUUAGUCAGUGGUGCUCACAGUAUGUCUGGGAUCAACUCUUGAAACCUCUAUAGAUCCAUAACUUAUUAUUCAAAAUAUUUAAGCAUUUCUGGUGACUUAAAAUCCCAAUUUUGCUUUGUGAAGAAUUCUACUGUGAUGUCUGUAUAUUAGCCAGACUGAUAAAGUGGAAGGCUUUCGGAUCACAGUUAUCUGUCCACAAACAUGGCCUCACAACACACAGACGGACAUGACUUCACAUAUGAACAAUAUGAGAAACUAUACACCCAAAAGAAGUAUAUGGAUGAGGACUCACUAAAUGAGGCAGACCUAAACAAGUUCGAAUGUGACGAAUGUGGAAAGUUUUUCAGUCGGAAACAAGAUCUUCCGCGCCAUUCCCUCACUCACACGGGCUUGAAGAAAUUUGGAUGUAAUGAGUGUGGAAAAUUCUUCAGCCAGAAACACCAUCUUAUGUACCACAGUCUGACUCAUACAGGGUUGAAAAAAUUUAAAUGUGAUGUAUGUGGAAAAAACUUUAGUCGAAAGGAGAGUCUCUCACGUCACCAUCUUAUCCAUACAGGUGAAAAAAAAUUCAAAUGUGAAGAAUGUGGAAAAUUCUUCACCUUAAAGCACCACCUUAUAUAUCAUUCUGUUACUCACUCAGAUUUGAAAAAAUUUGAAUGCGUUGAGUGUGGAAAGUUCUUCAGCAGGAAGCAGGGUCUAGUUCGCCAUACUCUAACUCACACUAGCUACAAUAAAAUGUAAUGAUACUUGUGGAGAAAAUUCUGUAUAGGUAAGGCUACCGAGUGAGUUCACUGUCAUAGAAAUGUAAAGAUUUGAAUAUGUAUAACUUAAACAUAAAUGUUUGUUCUGUCAUCAUAAUCUAUAUGAAGUUUUCUUUUUACUUUUUUCAUGUGAUUCAGCUUUAUUUUGGUAUUGCAUAAUGACAGCAGUCAGAAUGAAAAGACUGAAUGAUGUGGAAGGUCCUGCAUCCUUUUUUUUCUAAAAAAUGAUCCACUAUAUAAUUAUGAUGUGGAAGUAUUCAGAGUGAGGACUUCCAGCAAGGAGUGAACUUCAGUACUUAUAUUCACAUGUUAUUUAUGCAAAAUGAACAAACUAAAGUUGACGUAACUUAUUGGCAUCCAAAACUAUGCAGUUCAUCUCUCCUCCACUAACUAAGCACAGGCUCUUCUUUUCACCCUUGCACUUUUGCAAAUGGCACAUUUUUUAAUGAUUAUUGAUCAGUAUCAUUACCAGUAUGUAAUGUAAGUAAUGUAAGGUCUUAUGAUUUUUCCAGUUAUGCUUUUCAAUUGGUGUAUACUGUAUUAAAGAAUGAAUCUCUUAUAUUUCCCUAUGUUACAUUCCUAUUCAAAUCUAAGGAACAUAUGAUUUCAUUGAUUUUGGAAGGCAGGUUCCAUAUUAACACAAGUCAGUUAUACUCACCUCAUGAUAGAUGGAGCUGCAGAGUUGAGCAGCUUUUUUGUGGUGACCAUGAUACCUCUGGAGUCUUGUGCUUGGCCAUGUGCAGUCAUUGAUGCUGACAGUCCUGGCUGUUCUGUAAAGGGAGGAUAGUUCCAAGGUCAGACAUUUAGUGCAGUAGUUAUUGUCCUGCUGAAAUCAAUGUUGAGGUGAACAGAUUCACCAUAAAUAACUGAUGGGAAAAUAGAGAUUUGUCUGUUAUCAUACAAACAAGUAAAAGGAGAGCAAGAAUGUGAAAGUUGGGCUUACAGAGACAAUCAUGGACAAGAACACCUCACAGCAUUCCUUGGAGUUUUCUUUUUUCCUGAGGAGCUUAAUACUCCAGCAGCUAUUACAUAUUUAUUUUGACUUAUGAUGUCCGAUGCCUUGAGGAUUUUAAGGAAUACUAAGAUUGUUAAUAUCUGCACACAUGAUAUAUGCAUGUACAAUGAGAGUCUGACUUGGCCAUGGUGCAAAAUUAUGGUUUGUUUCUAAAGUAAUGUGAUCAUGUGACCAAAGAAUGUUUUUAUAAGAAGCAUUGAUUUGUCAGGAUUUCCUCAUUUGCAUUUCCCUUGCCAUAUUUCAUGGAUGCUUCAAUGAAUAAUAUGAUACACGACCUGUAAACAAGAGUUGAAAAUAAACUAGUAGCUGGAAA